rnacentral:rRNA from 1 species
GUACGGGGGGGGCAAGCGUUGUUCGGAAUUACUGGGCGUAAAGGGCUCGUAGGUGGCCAACUAAGUCAGACGUGAAAUCCCUCAGCUUAACUGGGGAACUGCGUCUGAUACUGGGAGGCUAGAGUAUGGGAGAGGGAUGUAGAAUUCCAGGUGUAGCGGUGAAAUGCGUAGAUAUCUGGAGGAAUACCGGUGGCGAAGGCGGCAUCCUGGACCAUUACUGACGCUGAGGCGCGAAAGCUAGGGGAGCAAACGGG